rnacentral:rRNA from 1 species
AUUGAACGCUGGCGGAAUGCUUUACACAUGCAAGUCGAACGGUAGAGGGGGCAACCCCUCGAGAGUGGCGAACGGGUGAGUAAUAUAUCGGAACGUGCCCAGUCGUGGGGGAUAACGUAGCGAAAGUUACGCUAAUACCGCAUACGAUCUAAGGAUGAAAGCGGGGGAUCGCAAGACCUCGCGCGAUUGGCGUGGGCGAUAUCAGAUUAGGUAGUUGGUGGGGUAAAGGCUCACCAAGCCAACGAUCUGUAGCUGGUCUGAGAGGACGACCAGCCACACUGGAACUGAGACACGGUCCAGACUCCUACGGGAGGCAGCAGUGGGGAAUUUUGGACAAUGGACGCAAGUCUGAUCCAGCCAUUCCGCGUGCAGGAUGAAGGCCCUCGGGUUGUAAACUGCUUUUGUACGGAACGAAAAGGUCUCUCUUAAUACGGGGGACUCAUGACGGUACCGUAAGAAUAAGCACCGGCUAACUACGUGCCAGCCGCCGCAGUAAAAC